rnacentral:rRNA from 1 species
GUCUACGGCCAUGCCACCUUUAACGUGCCCGAUCUCAUCUGAUCUCGGAAGCUAAGCAGGGUCAGGUCUGGUUAGUACUAGGGUGGGAGACCACCUAGGAAUACCAGGUGCUGUAGGCA